UAAACAAAGAGUCGACUUUUCAUAUGGAAAUGGGAGAGUCUCUCAAAGAUGGGUCCCCCGAGCAGAAUAUAUUCCCCACUGAUGAAACAAAUGAAAGAUAUUGAAGAGAAAAAACAGCGAUUAACGGGUGACAGGAAUCCAGUGUCUCAGCCAGGUGCCCAGAAGCCUAGGUCUGAAGCUACAGGAGAUGCAGCCAGAAUGAGGGUGGCCAAGUGUGGGGGGUUGAACACCCUUCUCUCUCUUUCCUGCCGGAAUCCUGUUUAUCCAGCUGUUUCCCUGAAUUUGAUGCCCCUUGUAAUUACAUUUAAUGAGACUCCGAAUAUUAACUGGCACAAUAGCAAAGCGAUGAUCUCUAGUUGAAAACUCCAACAAGACAGGCUGUUCAGCUAGGGAUCUUCCUGUCUCCACCUCCUACAGCUCCUGGAUUGGUGAUCAUUGCUCUCCAGAUUCAUCAAGAAAGUUUCUUUAUGCUGUGGAUGGUGGCCAACACAGAAAUUCACAACUGGUCAAAGUAUGGUGAAUAAGUGUCAACAUAGUGCUUAGCCCAAAAUGGGGCAUUUAUAUCAUACCUUUGCCCCAAGGACCAUAUAGAAGAGAGGGCAGGAAGAUGUCAAGGGUCAGAGAAUAAACAUGAUCGUAGACAUGGUGUAAUGUCUAAUCUAUUUCUGAAUGUAAUGGCAUUGAAAUAUUUUGAUGGAAGUAGGAGGACACAUAGUAAAAUAUUCAUGAUUCACUGGUCAUCUGGUAAAUCCCUGAAGAAAUGCUGAUAUGUACACCGCUGCCUUCUCUCAUGAGCUUCUAUAUGCAACAGAUGAGUGUAAUUGUCUAUGAAACAAAACAUCGGUAUCUACAUAUGAAUUUCAUAUUCAUGGCAAUGGAUGGAGACUAACAACAGUGCUUCUUAUGGUCUGGGGUGCAUCCCUUGACGUCCUGGUUGGUGUGACAUCCAGUGAUACCAAGACCUGAGCAGUAUCAAGCGAGCCACGAAUCUCACAACUGGAAGCAGUGUCGGAGGGGAGCCCCAGCCUCAGACCUGGGAGCAGAGUCAGAGGUAGGUAGGUUUGAGCUACAGGCCCUGAGCAGCGUCAGUGAGAGACCUGAAUCUCAGCCCAGAAGCAGCAUUAGAGGAAGGACUGAGCUUCAGGCCCGGAGCAGCAUCAAGGGAGCCAUGAGUCUCAGAACCCGCAGCAGUGUCAGAGGGAAGCCCUAACCUCAGCCCCAGGAGCGAAGAGUGAUCACUGGGUAAAGCAACAGUAGCACUAUGCAGCAGUAGCUUCCAGAAACUAUUACAAAAAGUUCCUCUGGAAUAGAGCACCUGUGUCCCAGCCAGCAUCCACUGCCAUUUCUCAGUGGGAGACACUCCACUACUACAUCUACUGACUCAGCUCCAGCUACACCUCCAACAGGAGGAGCGUCCACGGGGACUGUAGCCCCACCCGCACCUCAGGGCGUGACCACCUGAGCAUUGGGCCCACUUCCACCAGGAGGAGAGUUCACCUGAAGCUCUGCUCUACUUGUGCCUGAAGAAGCUGUCAAUGGAGCCACAGCCCCUAACUAUACCAAUUGGAGAAAGAGAAAACCCCUGAAGCACAAGCUCCACCUUUACCGAUUAGAGGAAGAGAUGCAUAGACAACACACUCAACAAUGAUACCUAGAGACUCAGGAAGCCUACCAUCUGUAGGCUGCUGCAGUGGUGGUCGGGAAAGGUAGACAGCUGUACAUUGUCAGGCAUACAAAUGAUAUCUGUGCAGUAUAGCUACAACUAAACCACCAGCAGCCACAGAACUAAUGCAAUUUAUUCUCUGUGACUAGUCUCUUCAGAAGCAAUUAUAACAUAUAAUGAUAUCUAUGGUAAGGAUAAUAAGGCCUUUUCUGGGUUCGAGGAAUCUUUGUUUCUAUCAAAGGAGCUUUGGGGUCUCUCUAGAGAUUAGGCCAUGCAUUUAUUGGGAAUUAGUGGGUGAUAUUGUUGCUUCCGAAACCAUGGCACAACACUGUGAUGUUCUUAGGGACAGAACAUCCAUCCAUUAGAUGACAGUAUUUGUUGCCAGUGAGGAGAGGAAUCCUUCCUUGGCUGCUGACCUAAUGAUUGGUUAACAUCAGGCUCCAGAAGGCACACAUUUUUAUGGUACAUUAAUAUUUUCUUGCCUUUGUUAUUGCUGACAGGAAAUACAUAAUAGGUCUUUCCUCAUGCAUGAAGCUUUUCAUUUGUAAAAUUUUUCACUUCAAUAAUAAGACAUUUGAUUAAUACAGGGAAGCUAGGUUUUAGAGGAAACUCAUAUCAUUGUUGGUCAUACAUGAUGCAGAACCUUCCAGUAUUCUAUAGCAAAAUGUGAUGGUGCCUUCUGAAUGAAGCCAAAUCCAGAAGAAAUAAUAGUAAGUAAAUGUUAACUAUUGCAAUGGAGUUGGAUCCUAUGGUUGGUGAGCUAUUUGUUUUGUGACGUUCCCAAGGGUUAUUUUAUUGAGAGUUUUGCCAUUAAGUGGUCUAAUUGUGUCAGUGGAUGGGGGCAUUUUGAAUUUGCAUAAUUUCCUCAAGGGACCUCAGCUGCUAAUUUGGUGAUUAAUUAUCCAUAUUACACAUUGUUUAUUUGACCAUGCCUAGAUUAAUUUCUUUUUCCCAGCAAAUCACAUUUAGAUAUGAAUUUGCAUAUCUUGAUUACAUUUUAAUGUCAUGGCUAUCAUUGUCUCUUCCCUGGACACCUCAUGAGCUCAUAUAAGAGUGAUCAAGCAGAGAAUGAUGGAAUGUCUUAAAUGACAUCCCACAUCAGUGGACAGAAAAUGCGCAUGACUUAUUUUUAAUGAAGAAUGUGUUCCUUAAUAAUCCAGUAAAUUACAAUAUUUGAUGUGCAGUAUAUUUUGUGUUUCUAAUAUUUCCAUUUUAUUAUUGCCAACCAAUGUUAAUGUCUUAACUUUUUUAAUGUUUUUAUCAAUACAAAUAUAUAUCUGUAUGCAUACAUAUAUAUACACAUACAUAUAUAUUUAUGACUAAAAAUUGCAUUUUAUUUAUCUAUAGUGUGGCAUUCUGUUAUCAAAUUCUAACAAGCUUUAUAAUCACAUCAGGCUCAAGAAUGACUAGAAUUCUGGUUGCCCUGUGCUAAUACUACUUAGACUCAUAGAGUGUGUCUCAAGUUAUUUUAUUUCAUUUAUACACAAUGUAUCAUUGUUAUUUACUUUAUGGAGUACUAUCUCAAUUGCAGAUAGUACCUACUCAUUUUUAUUCAUUGUUAAACUGUCUUAUGAGAAAAAUUAUACUUUACUUGUCUUAAAAAAGAGCUAAUAAAUUUUAGAGACAGACAGAAAAUAAUUUAUUUUUGAUAAAGAACCAGGAAGUUGUGGAGUCAAAAUUAGGAUCUGCGUGACACGACCAAUGUUGCUUGCCAGCUCUAUAGACAUGGAAUACCAGCAAGAAAGGCUCUUAACUAGCAACAAAUAGAUUCUCCUGCUUCAUUAAAUGGAAAUAAAAUGAAUGAAUUGGUGCUUUGCACUAGCUAUGAAUAAAUGAUCUGUAUCAGCUCUAUGCCCACAGAAGACUGAAUGAGUGAAUUAAUGCAUGAGUGAAUGAAUGGGUGGAUGAUAACAUGGUUGUUUCCUAUACCAAUGAUACAGCCAAAUAAAGAAAUUCAAUGUCAACUGUCUACCCAGAUGUUAAGGAAAGACAAAGAAGCCUUCCGGAAGUGAAUUUGGCAGCUUUGACACGAAGAUCCACUAUAUUCAGGAUGUAGGGGUAGGACAAAGGCACAGUUCUUCUCUUCUUCUACACUGAGCUCUCCCUAGCCCAUCAGAUGGAACUCGGAAAAUGGGUAUGUAAGAAUCCUGAAUAAAAUAUUACAUCCAUCCAAACAUUUUGGAUACCUUGAUAUCUGCAGGUAAAAGAUAACAACUGUCAAACAACAUCUGUGCUUAAAUGGGAAAGGAAGUUAGAAUCUGCUGCCUGCGGCAUUUCUGUAAUUUCCAAAGUAUGAAGUACUGAAGUCUCAUUGUCAUCAACUGGGUAGGUUGAUGGCUACAGACCUCAGAGCUGUGUGCUUACCUGAUUGGCAUCAUAUCCAGGAUAUACUAGGAUAUACACUGAAUUUCCUCAGUUUCCCCUCAUAUGAGAAGGAUUAAUAAUAUUAUUGAUAUAUAUCUAUAUCUACAUGUAUCUUAAAUGCAGUCAUAUGCCACUAUAUGACUAUCAUUGCUAACACAAAUAAAACAAUAAUAAUGUAAACUAUGUAUAACAAAGUUUUAAUAAAUUAUAAUAGUAAUUAAUAAUAUUAAAGCCAAUCUAAAAUGUAUUGUUGUUUCUCAA